rnacentral:rRNA from 1 species
CCUACGGGGGGCAGCAGUGGGGAAUAUUGCGCAAUGGGCGAAAGCCUGACGCAGCGACGCAGCGUGAGGGAUGAAGGUCUUCGGAUCGUAAACCUCUGUCAGCAGGGAAGAACGGUCACUGUGCUAAUCAGCAGUGAAUUGACGGUACCUGCAAAGGAAGCACCGGCUAACUCCGUGCCAGCAGCCGCGGUAAUACGGAGGGUGCGAGCGUUAAUCGGAAGUACUGGGCGUAAAGCGAUCGUAGGCGGUCUGUCAAGUCAAGGGUGAAAUCCCCGCGCUUAACGGUGGAACUGCCUGUGAAACUGGCAAACUGGAGUGUGUGAGAGGAUAGUGGAAUUCCAGGGGUAGGAGUGAAUUCCGUAGAUAUCUGGAGGAACAUCAGUGGCGAAGGCGACUAUCUGGCACAUAACUGACGCUGAGGAGCGAAAGCGUGGGUAGCAAACAGGAUUAGAUACCCCAGUAGUC